rnacentral:lncRNA from 12 species
GAAAUAAUACUGUAGUACAGGAAAAAGUAUUACUUCUUUCAAAUCUAUGUGCUUGAUAGGUCUGUAAGAGAAAACUUUGCACGUGCAAGAUGAAUGAAUCAGAAUAACCAAAGACAACAGCAACGUCGUAUUUGUCUCUUCCAGCUCAUUCACCUAGCACAACUUCUAAGGGGAAACAAUCUUCCUAUGGAGUUCAAUCCUCACAAUCUGGAGCCUGACCCCAGUGUCCUGUUCCAGCCCUGCUGUGCUUCUCACCCCGUGAGCUCCCGAGGCAUCUGUGCAAUGUGUGGAUGUGCUCCUGCUGUCCCCAGCUCAUGGACCAUUGCAAAAUAUUCCUAAUAGCCCUGUGUGAUUCCACUUAGGACACUGCCCUGUGACAUCUGUG